rnacentral:rRNA from 1 species
GAUGAACACUGGCGGCGUGCCUAAUACAUGCAAGUCGAGCGAACGGACGAGAAGCUUGCUUUUCUGAUGUUAGCGGCGGACGGGUGAGUAACACGUGGAUAACCUACCUAUAAGACUGGGAUAACUUCGGGAAACCGGAGCUAAUACCGGAUAAUAUUUUGAACCGCAUGGUUCAAAAGUGAAAGACGGUCUUGCUGUCACUUAUAGAUGGAUCCGCGCUGCAUUAGCUAGUUGGUAAGGUAACGGCUUACCAAGGCAACGAUGCAUAGCCGACCUGAGAGGGUGAUCGGCCACACUGGAACUGAGACACGGUCCAGACUCCUACGGGAGGCAGCAGUAGGGAAUCUUCCGCAAUGGGCGAAAGCCUGACGGAGCAACGCCGCGUGAGUGAUGAAGGUCUUCGGAUCGUAAAACUCUGUUAUUAGGGAAGAACAUAUGUGUAAGUAACUGUGCACAUCUUGACGGUACCUAAUCAGAAAGCCACGGCUAACUACGUG